rnacentral:rRNA from 1 species
CAGCAGCCGCGGGAAUACGGAGGGGGCUAGCGUUGUUCGGAAUUACUGGGCGUAAAGCGCACGUAGGCGGCUUGGUAAGUUAGAGGUGAAAGCCUGGAGCUCAACUCCAGAAUUGCCUUUAAGACUGCCGAGCUAGCAGGUGAGAGAGGUAAGUGGAAUUCCGAGUGUAGAGGUGAAAUUCGUAGAUAUUCGGAAGAACACCAGUGGCGAAGGCAGCUUACUGGCUCAUACUGGACGCUGAGGUGCGAAAGCGUGGGGAGCAAACAGGAUUAGAUACCCCCGUAGUCCCUGUCUCUUAUAC